CAAGAAAUAGUUUAUUAAAAAUAUUAACUUUGGGAGUUAGUGACAAAGAGAUUUCUUUUUUCUUGA
rnacentral:tRNA from 1 species